rnacentral:ncRNA from 2 species
UUCUUAUCAAGAGAGGUGGAGGGAAAGGCCCUUUGAAACCUCGGCAACAGGUUUAGAUAAACACUGUGCCAAUUCCUACAGGCUGAAUGUCUGGAAGAUAAGAA